AAAAUCUGUCGACUUUAAAAAUCGUGAGGGUUCAAGUCCCUCUAUCCCCA
rnacentral:tRNA from 1 species